AUAAGUGCAUGUGGUGGAUGCCUUGGCGAUUACAGGCGAUGAAGGACGUUGUAGCCUGCGAAAAGCCGCGGGGAGCUGGCAAACAAGCUUUGAUCCGCGGAUGUCCGAAUGGGGAAACCCACCCGCAAGGGUAUCGCUGACUGAAUCCAUAGGUCAGCGAGGCGAACGUGGCGAACUGAAACAUCUAAGUAGCCACAGGAAAAGAAAUCAACCGAGAUUCCGAAAGUAGUGGCGAGCGAAAUCGGAGCAGCCUGUGCGUGAUAGUCGAUUGGCUAGUGGAACGGUAUGGAAAGGCCGGCCAUAGAGGGUGAUAGCCCCUUACACGAAAGCGAAUCGGUGGUACUGAGCGUACGACAAGUAGGGCGGGACACGUGUAAUCCUGUCUGAAGAUGGGGGGACCAUCCUCCAAGGCUAAAUACUCGUAAUCGACCGAUAGUGAACAAGUACUGUGAAGGAAAGGCGAAAAGAACCCCGGGAGGGGAGUGAAAUAGAUCCUGAAACCGCAUGCAUACAAACAGUCGGAGCCUCGCAAGGGGUGACGGCGUACCUUUUGUAUAAUGGGUCAGCGACUUACGUUCAGUGGCAAGCUUAACCAGAUAGGGGAGGCGCAGGGAAACCGAGUCCGAAUAGGGCGCCAUAGUCGCUGGGCGUAGACCCGAAACCAGGUGAUCUAUCCAUGGUCAGGAUGAAGGUUGGGUAACACCAGCUGGAGGUCCGAACCGACUAAUGUUGCAAAAUUAGCGGAUGAACUGUGGAUAGGGGUGAAAGGCUAAUCAAACCUGGAAAUAGCUGGUUCUCCCCGAAAACUAUUUAGGUAGUGCGUCAUGUAUUGCUCCAGGGGGUAGAGCACUGUAAUGGUUGUGGGGGCCAUCGCGGCUUACCACGCCAUAGCAAACUCCGAAUACCUGGAAGUAUGAGCAUGGCAGACAGUCGCCGGGUGCUAACGUCCGGCGGCAAGAGGGAAACAACCCAGACCUACAGCUAAGGUCCCAAAGUGUGGCUAAGUGGGAAACGAAGUGGGAAGGCUAAAACAGUCAGGAUGUUGGCUUAGAAGCAGCCAUCAUUUAAAGAAAGCGUAAUAGCUCACUGAUCGAGUCGUCCUGCGCGGAAGAUGUAACGGGGCUAAGCCAUGCACCGAAGCUUAGGCUGCACUCUUUGAGUGCGGGGUAGGGGAGCGUUCUGUAAGCCUGUGAAGGUGUCUCGUAAGGGAUGCUGGAGGUAUCAGAAGUGCGAAUGCUGACAUGAGUAGCGUUAAAGCGGGUGAAAAGCCCGCUCGCCGUAAGCGCAAGGUUUCCUACGCAACGUUCAUCGGCGUAGGGUGAGUCGGCCCCUAAGGUGAGGGCGAAAGCCAUAGCUGAUGGGAAGCUGGUUAAUAUUCCAGCACCGAUUUCUAGUGCGAUGGGGGGACGGAUCGUGGAAGGUUGUCCGGGUGUUGGAAGUCCCGGUUCCUGACCUGUAGGUGUCUGGUAGGUAAAUCCGCCAGGCGUAUGCCGAGGGGUUGGGACGAGCGAGCUUGCUCGCGAAGCAACUGGAAGUGGUUCCAAGAAAAGCCUCUAAGCUUCAGCUAGAAACGACCGUACCGCAAACCAACACUGGUGCGCGAGAUGAGUAUUCUCAGGCGCUUGAGAGAACUCGGGAGAAGGAACUCGGCAAAUUGACACCGUAACUUCGGAAGAAGGUGUGCCUUGGUAGCUUGAGUGUGAACAACACAAGGGCAAAGAGGUUGCAAAGAAUAGGUGGCUGCGACUGUUUAUUAAAAACACAGCACUCUGCAAACACGAAAGUGGACGUAUAGGGUGUGACGCCUGCCCGGUGCCGGAAGGUUAAGUGAUGGGGUGCAAGCUCUUGAUCGAAGCCCCGGUAAACGGCGGCCGUAACUAUAACGGUCCUAAGGUAGCGAAAUUCCUUGUCGGGUAAGUUCCGACCUGCACGAAUGGCGUAACGACUUCCC
rnacentral:rRNA from 1 species